AGCGAACGCUGGCGGCGUGCCUAACACAUGCAAGUCGAACGUGAAAGGGAGCAAUCCCAAGUAAAGUGGCGUACGGGUGAGUAACACGUAGGUAAUCUACCCCAGAAUCUGGAAUAACCGGCCGAAAGGCUGGCUAAUACUGGAUAGAGCGACGGAAUCCGUAAUUGGGUUUUUCGGGAAAGGGAGCCUGUAAAAAGGCCUUCGUUCUGGGAUGAGCCUGCGUCCCAUCAGCUAGUUGGUGAGGUAAAAGCUUACCAAGGCAAUGACGGGUAGCUGGUCUGAGAGGACGAUCAGCCACACUGGAACUGAAACACGGUCCAGACUCCUACGGGAGGCAGCAGGGGGGAAUCUUGCGCAAUGGACGAAAGUCUGACGCAGCAACGCCGCGGGAGGGAAGAAGGCCUUCGGGUUGUAAAGCUCUGUCGAGUGGGACGAAAAUGCUUGGAGUUCACAGCUCCAGGAACUGACGGUACCACUAAAGGAAGCACCGGCUAACUCCGUG
rnacentral:rRNA from 1 species